UACAGAGGUCUCAAGCGUUGUUCGGAUUCAUUGGGCGUAAAGGGUGUGUAGGUGGCGCCGUAAGUCGGGUGUGAAAUUUCGGAGCUUAACUCCGAAACUGCAUUCGAUACUGCGGUGCUUGAGGACUGGAGAGGAGACUGGAAUUCAUGGUGUAGCAGUGAAAUGCGUAGAGAUCAUGAGGAAGACCAGUGGCGAAGGCGGGUCUCUGGGCCGUAACUGACGCUGAGGAGCGAAAGCGUGGGGAGCGAACAGG
rnacentral:rRNA from 1 species